rnacentral:rRNA from 1 species
UCCGGUUGAUCCUGCCGGAGGCCACUGCUAUGGGGGUCCGACUAAGCCAUGCGAGUCAUGGGGCGCCUUGCGCGCACCGGCGGACGGCUCAGUAACACGUCGGUAACCUACCCUCGGGAGGGGGAUAACCCCGGGAAACUGGGGCUAAUCCCCCGUAGGCCUGAGGUACUGGAAGGUCCUCAGGCCGAAAGGGUCUUUGACCGCCCGAGGAUGGGCCGGCGGCCGAUUAGGUAGUUGGUGGGGUAACGGCCCACCAAGCCGAAGAUCGGUACGGGCCAUGAGAGUGGGAGCCCGGAGAUGGACACUGAGACACGGGUCCAGGCCCUACGGGGCGCAGCAGGCGCGAAACCUCCGCAAUGCUCGAAAGAGCGACGGGGGGACCCCCAGUGCCGUGGCAUCGCCACGGCUUUUCCGGAGUGUAAAGAGCUCCGGGAAUAAGGGCUGGGCAAGGCCGGUGGCAGCCGCCGCGGUAAUACCGGCGGCCCGAGUGGUGGCCACUAUUAUUGGGCCUAAAGCGUCCGUAGCCGGGCCUGUAAGUCCCUGGCGAAAUCCCACGGCUCAACCGUGGGGCUUGCUGGGGAUACUGCAGGCCUUGGGACCGGGAGAGGCCGGGGGUACUCCUGGGGUAGGGGUG